CCUGGCUCACGAUUAACGCUGGCGGCGCGCCUAACACAUGCAAGUCGAACGAUAGAUGAAGAGCUUGCUCUUCAAAUCGAGUGGCGAACGGGUGAGUAACGCGUGAGGAACCUGCCUCAAAGAGGGGGACAACAGUUGGAAACGACUGCUAAUACCGCAUAAGCCCACGGCUCGGCAUCGAGCAGAGGGAAAAGGAGCAAUCCGCUUUGAGAUGGCCUCGCGUCCGAUUAGCUAGUUGGUGAGGUAACGGCCCACCAAGGCGACGAUCGGUAGCCGGACUGAGAGGUUGAACGGCCACAUUGGGACUGAGACACGGCCCAGACUCCUACGGGAGGCAGCAGUGGGGAAUAUUGCACAAUGGGGGAAACCCUGAUGCAGCGACGCCGCGUGGAGGAAGAAGGUCUUCGGAUUGUAAACUCCUGUUGUUGAGGAAGAUAAUGACGGUACUCAACAAGGAAGUGACGGCUAACUACGUGCCAGCAGCCGCGGUAAAACGUAGGUCACAAGCGUUGUCCGGAAUUACUGGGUGUAAAGGGAGCGCAGGCGGGAGAACAAGUUGGAAGUGAAAUCCAUGGGCUCAACCCAUGAACUGCUUUCAAAACUGUUUUUCUUGAGUAGUGCAGAGGUAGGCGGAAUUCCCGGUGUAGCGGUGGAAUGCGUAGAUAUCGGGAGGAACACCAGUGGCGAAGGCGGCCUACUGGGCACCAACUGACGCUGAGGCUCGAAAGUGUGGGUAGCAAACAGGAUUAGAUACCCUGGUAGUCCACACCGUAAACGAUGAUUACUAGGUGUUGGAGGAUUGACCCCUUCAGUGCCGCAGUUAACACAAUAAGUAAUCCACCUGGGGAGUACGACCGCAAGGUUGAAACUCAAAGGAAUUGACGGGGGCCCGCACAAGCAGUGGAGUAUGUGGUUUAAUUCGACGCAACGCGAAGAACCUUACCAAGUCUUGACAUCCCUUGACGAUACUGGAAACAGUAUUUCUCUUCGGAGCAAGGAGACAGGUGGUGCAUGGUUGUCGUCAGCUCGUGUCGUGAGAUGUUGGGUUAAGUCCCGCAACGAGCGCAACCCUUAUGGUCAGUUACUACGCAAGAGGACUCUGGCCAGACUGCCGUUGACAAAACGGAGGAAGGUGGGGAUGACGUCAAAUCAUCAUGCCCUUUAUGACUUGGGCUACACACGUACUACAAUGGCGUUAAACAAAGAGAAGCAAGACCGCGAGGUGGAGCAAAACUCAGAAACAACGUCCCAGUUCGGACUGCAGGCUGCAACUCGCCUGCACGAAGUCGGAAUUGCUAGUAAUCGUGGAUCAGCAUGCCACGGUGAAUACGUUCCCGGGCCUUGCACACACCGCCC
rnacentral:rRNA from 1 species